UGCAAUGGCUCCUCUCAACUACUUGUUAUCAGAGAAAGGAAAUUUAACGGCUUGAUUUUCAUUCUAGGGUUUAUAGCAUUUGAUCUAAUGGCUUCUAAGCCAUCUAAACAAAUUGGUUUUGAGAUUCUAAAGGGUUUCAAAACCCUUUUCGCCGAGUUAGAACCAGACGGCCAAAAAAUAAUACAGAAAAGAAGGAUUACCUAUCCCAUCUCGCCGCCGUUUCUCUGAUUUUGUGUCUUUCUCUCCUCACACACGCCAAUGGAAGAGGCAAACAAUACUCUUGAUCUAAUUGAUAUGGUACUCAUCAUCGCCAUUCGUCAUUUGGUUUAUUUGGGCGUGGAUGUUUCUUGUUUCCCCAUUUGGCUAGUCGCUCUCAAUUUUCUUCCACACAAAAUUGAGAGGAAGAGCAUUCUGAAUAGUCUGAAUCAAGAACCCCCACAAUAUCUCUCGAUUCUUCAAGAAGACUUCAAGCUACAGGACAACUGUUAAAUUUUUCCCUCUUUGAUCCUAAUUGUCGAAUCUGCAACUGUAAGCCACAACCCGCAUCCAGAGACAACAACAUACUGACUCUGUCACUCUAAGGAAUCUGUGAAGACCAAGCACCCUUAGCUUCAUUAUGAGUCAAAGUUAUACAUGCUUCUACAAGGAGGGACGAGUAUCACCCAUCUGAAAUGGUUUGGUGUUGAGGGCGAGUACAAUGUUAUGGUUAUUGACCUUCUAGGGCCAAUCGAAAGUUUGCAAUCCUAGAAGACUUGUUCAACUAUUGCAAUCGAAAGUUUUCUUUAAAAAUAGUUUUGAUGCUUGCAGAUCAGUUAGUAAGUAUUCAAUGUUUUCAAUGAAAGAUAAAUAGAGUUCAGUUUAGGGCGCAAAGCUAAUCAGGUGACGCCCGAGUUACAAAAUGUUGGAAAUGGAGGCUACGUUAUAUGAAACCAAUGCAAGUGAUCGAUGGAAAAUAGAAUAUUUUUAUAUGAAGUUUCCUCUACACAUUACGAUUUUCUGCAUUAGUUAUUUGAUUUUUGCAUUUUAUAUUUGCUUCGUGAUUAAUAAUUUUUAAUUUGUAAUUGUAAUUGAAGGUUGAAGCCUUGAAUUUAUGAGAUUGUAUUUGUAAAUUUUAAUUGUUUAGUGACUCAGUAUAAAGUGAAUAUGUCAAUUUGCAUUUUUGCAGCAAAUUGAUUUUUAAUUUAUUAGAUUGUAUUUGUAAAUUGUAAUUGUUUAGAAGGGUUAAGUGAAUGAUAAAAGAAAGUGUAAUUGUAAAUUUGCUUGGUUUUACUUUUUGUAAUGGAUGGGGCUAAUGGCAUUUUUGGUUAAUUGUGCUUGA